AGCUUUGCGCAGUGGCAGUAUCGUAGCCAAUGAGGUUUAUCCGAGGCGCGAUUAUUGCUAAUUGAAAACUUUUCCCAAUAACUUUCAAGGAAAAGCAAACAGAAUGUACUUCACCAUGCAAUCAAAGCACAGUUUACCCAAGAAAC